rnacentral:lncRNA from 1 species
CAGAACAAAACUCCAUUUGAUUUAUAGAUUCUGUAAAAGCCCAAAUUUGACCGGGCUGAAAACUAAAUAAAUAAAUAAACAAUUGUUUAUUUAACAGUUCAAGUCCAUGUUACAAAGCCCAAACAGUGGGCCCAAAAUCAAAUAUUUCAGACCCAUUAACCCGGUUACUACCCAGCAGACCUAAAACUACCCAGCAGACCCAUUUACACCCUUAACCCAAAUAGAAUACCAAUAAACCAAACCCAAAUCAGAAAUGGCCCAAAAGCCCAAGUAACUUUAAGGAAACAAGAAACCCUAGGGUUUCCUGAGGACUACAGCGCCGCAGCAGCUUCUGGAAGCCUUGGGGAGUGUCUGUUGAAUUCCCCAAAAUCGAGGCCAUUAAUGAGCCUCCUCAGCACAGCCUGGACGACUCCUCAGCUACCAAUCAGCGCCUCACCGACACCACCGCCAGACUUCAGGCCUCCAUCAACGCCAGCGACCCUUCCAUUACCGGAUUUUUCGCGAGCACCUGCAAAGAAAGGAAAGAAACACAACAGAUACGAAAAACAAAAAAAGGAAACUAAAAUAAAAAGAUUUCAGUAGAUCACAAACAAGAAAUGGAAAGAAAAUUUCUUUCCCAGAUUAUUUAAUAACAGUAGUGGCUAUAAAAGUCCGAAAUCAAACAGUGUAAAGAGGGGACCGAAUUUUUUUUUACAGAAUAAAAAUAUACUUACAGAUAUUCGAUUCAGAGAAAUACAAACAGUUUCUAAGAGGUGAUUUAAUCGUGUACCUUGUUCUUAUUUUAGCAUGCAUAUAUAAAUUGUUUUAAGCAGAAAUCGUUGAGGUUUUAAAAAGGAAAGAAAGUUACCUGUAUUACGCUUGAAGAGGGGAGAGUUUUUAACCCUCCGAUCACCGGGCGUGGCGGCGCGUAGGCGCGUGGGGUUUGAGGGACGGAGAUUCCACAGAGCCCCGAUGACCAGCCUCUAGUCCCCUUCAGAGGAUUCUUUGUUUUUUUUCUUAAAAAGAUAUUCCAAAUGAUUUUUAGGCUUUAGUUUUGGCUUAUA